rnacentral:rRNA from 1 species
UUGAACGCUGGCGGUAUGCUUAAGACAUGCAAGUCGAACGGAAUCUUCGGAUUCAGUGGCGGACGGGUGAGUAACACGUGGGAAUCUACUGAGUAGUGGGGGACAGCCCGGCGAAAGCCGGAUUAAUACCGCAUACGCCCUACGGGGGAAAGGCGCAAGCCGCUAUUCAAUGAGCCCGCGUAAGAUUAGCUAGUUGGUAAGGUAAAGGCUUACCAAGGCGACGAUCUUUAGCUGGUCUGAGAGGAUGGCCAGCCACAUCGGGACUGAGACACGGCCCGGACUCCUACGGGAGGCAGCAGUCGGGAAUAUUGGACAAUGGGCGCAAGCCUGAUCCAGCAAUACCGCGUGUGUGAAGAAGGCCUGCGGGUUGUAAAGCACUUUCAGUUGGGAAGAUAAUGACGUUACCAACAGAAGAAGCACCGGCUAACUCCGUGCCAGCAGCCGCGGUAAUACNNGAGGGUGCAAGCGUUAAUCGGAAUUACUGGGCGUAAAGCGUGCGUAGGCGGUUUAUUAAGUCAGAUGUGAAAUCCCGGGCUCAACCUGGG